UACGUAGGGUGCGAGCGUUAAUCGGAAUUACUGGGCGUAAAGCGUGCGCAGGCGGUUUUGUAAGCCGGAUGUGAAAUCCCCGGGCUUAACCUGGGAAUGGCAUUCGGGACUGCAAGGCUGGAGUGCGGCAGAGGAGACUGGAAUUCCUGGUGUAGCAGUGAAAUGCGUAGAUAUCAGGAGGAACACCGAUGGCGAAGGCAGGUCUCUGGGCUGACACUGACGCU
rnacentral:rRNA from 1 species